rnacentral:rRNA from 1 species
CCUACGGGAGGCUGCAGUGAGGAAUAUUGGUCAAUGGACGAGAGUCUGAACCAGCCAAGUAGCGUGAAGGAUGACUGCCCUAUGGGUUGUAAACUUCUUUUAUAAAGGAAUAAAACGAGGCACGUGUGCCUUUUUGCAUGUACUUUAUGAAUAAGGAUCGGCUAACUCCGUGCCAGCAGCCGCGGUAAUACGGAGGAUCCGAGCGUUAUCCGGAUUUAGUGGGUUUAAGGGGAGCGUAGAUGGGUUGUUAAGUCAGUUGUGAAAGUUUGCGGCUCAACCGUAAAAUUGCAAUUGAUACUGGCAGUCUUGAGUACAGUUGAGGUAGGCGGAAUUCGUGGUGUAGCGGUGAAAUGCUUAGAUAUCACGAAGAACCCCGAUUGCGAAGGCAGCUUACUAAACUGUGACUGACAUUGAUGCUCGAAAGUGUGGGUAUCAAACAGGAUUAGAUACCCUAGUAGUC